AUUGAACGCUGGCGGCAUGCUUUACACAUGCAAGUCGAACGGCAGCACGGGGGCAACCCUGGUGGCGAGUGGCGAACGGGUGAGUAAUGCAUCGGAACAUACCCAGUCGUGGGGGAUAACGUAGCGAAAGUUACGCUAAUACCGCAUACGUCCUGAGGGAGAAAGCGGGGGAUCGCAAGACCUUGCGCGAUUGGAGUGGCCGAUGUCAGAUUAGCUAGUUGGUGGGGUAAAGGCCCACCAAGGCGACGAUCUGUAGCGGGUCUGAGAGGAUGAUCCGCCACACUGGGACUGAGACACGGCCCAGACUCCUACGGGAGGCAGCAGUGGGGAAUUUUGGACAAUGGGGGAAACCCUGAUCCAGCCAUGCCGCGUGCGGGAAGAAGGCCUUCGGGUUGUAAACCGCUUUCGGACGGAAAGAAAUCGCACGGACUAAUACUCUGUGUGGAUGACGGUACCGUAAGAAGAAGCACCGGCUAACUACGUGCCAGCAGCCGCAGUAAUAC
rnacentral:rRNA from 1 species